rnacentral:rRNA from 1 species
UGCAGUCGAGCGGUAACAUUUCUAGCUUGCUAGAAGAUGACGAGCGGCGGACGGGUGAGUAAUGCUUGGGAAUAUGCCUUAUGGUGGGGGACAACAGUUGGAAACGACUGCUAAUACCGCAUAAUGUCUACGGACCAAAGGGGGGGAUCUUCGGACCUCUCGCCAUUUGAUUAGCCCAAGUGAGAUUAGCUAGUUGGUGAGGUAAUGGCUCACCAAGGCGACGAUCUCUAGCUGGUUUGAGAGGAUGAUCAGCCACACUGGGACUGAGACACGGCCCAGACUCCUACGGGAGGCAGCAGUGGGGAAUAUUGCACAAUGGGCGCAAGCCUGAUGCAGCCAUGCCGCGUGUGUGAAGAAGGCCUUCGGGUUGUAAAGCACUUUCAGUAAGGAGGAAAGGGAUGUAGUUAAUAACUGCAUUCUGUGACGUUACUUACAGAAGAAGCACCGGCUAACUUCGUGCCAGCAGCCGCGGUAAUACGAGGGGUGCAAGCGUUAAUCGGAAUUACUGGGCGUAAAGCGUUCGUAGGCGGUUGAUUAAGCAAGAUGUGAAAGCCCAGGGCUCAACCUUGGAACUGCAUUUUGAACUGGUCAACUAGAGUACUGUAGAGGGUGGUGGAAUUUCCAGUGUA